GAACCAGUAGGUUGGUCGUGCCUACGGUACGUACUGACCUUACCGGUUUCUCCCUUCUGACGAACCAUAAUGCCAUUAAUUUGGUGUUGUGGGGAAUCAGGACUGUUACUUUGAAAAAAUUAGAGUGUUUAAAGCAGGCUUUAAGCUUGAAUAGAUUAGCAUGGAAUAACGAAAUAGGACGUUUGAUCUUAUUUUGUUGGUUUCUAGGAUCGACGUA
rnacentral:rRNA from 1 species